GACGUAGGGCGCGAGCGUUGUCCGGAUUUAUUGGGCGUAAAGCGCGCGCAGGCGGUCUCUUAAGUCUGAUGUGAAAGCCCACGGCUCAACCGUGGAGGGUCAUUGGAAACUGGGAGACUUGAGUGCAGGAGAGAAAAGUGGAAUUCCACGUGUAGCGGUGAAAUGCGUAGAGAUGUGGAGGAACACCAGUGGCGAAGGCGGCUUUUUGGCCUGUAACUGACGCUGAGGCGCGAAAGCGUGGGGAGCAAACAGG
rnacentral:rRNA from 1 species